AUUUUAAAGAUGUUUUAAGAGGUUUUUUAAAAAGAAAAAUACACUUAAUGCGCUGAACUGUUCAGUUUCAGUACUCCGUUAGACAAUUCAAGUCCCAAACAACGUGCCACCAAACGUUAAAACGGUCUUUGCCAGUUGAGAAUGUCUCCUCUGCCCAAAUGGGCUCAUUAGUGAAUUCAAGCCAGUCAUGUUUCUUUCCCUUGGUAAGGUAAUUGAAUAACAGGUUGUUGCUCACAUGGAAAAGCCUCCUUAAGGUUUGGUUAGGUUAGUCAAUCCGGCCGAGACGCGUUCGUUGACAAAACCGCCGCAAAAACCCUUGAAAGGCCGACUCUUUAACAGUUCCUCCUCCACCUAAUUUCCUUUUACAUAUUCACCAUACAACAGUUAAGCUCGUAUAUACAUGUAUAUUUUCUGCUAUGCUGAAUUUUAUCUGCAAACUUUGAUGCAUCACUUGUGCUUAUCAUGUAAUUUUUUGUUGAUUGAUUUGCUUUUCUUUUUGUGUGCGUGUGUGUGUGGAUUUUGAUUCUCUUGCAGCAUAUUAUUCAACCUUUUAACUGAAAAUUUCUAUUUUAUGCAAAUUUAGAAUUUUUUUGUUAGAUUGUGUUUGAGAGUUUUAGAAUUCUAAAGGGUAAUAGUGGAAAGUAGUUAUUAAUUUAUGUCCUUGAAUGUUUUUUCUUAAGGGGUGUAUAUUGACCUAAGAAAACCUUGUUUACUUUUGUAAUUUUGUUAUUGGAUAGGAAGUAAAUCACCCUUUACCAUAUUGUUGCGGAUUUCCACUUACGCAGUUGUCUUCUUGUAACUUAAAAUGUGAUAUUUUCAUCUCAAUGUCAUGGAUAUGAAUUCUAAAGCUCGGUUCAUUGAAGGUUGAUUUCAUUUAUGAAAACCUCCAAAAAUAGUUACUUUAUCGUAAUUUGCAAUGAAGUUAUCGAAACUUGGACGAGGUAAACUGGUGGUUCUAUCUGAGCAGGUUUUUGGAUAGAGAUUAUGUGUUGUAAUAUGGUAUUUCCAUCUCUAAUACAUGUCAUAAUAGUAUGUUGAGGUACUAAUGGAAUUGAUUGGAAAAACACAAUAGAGUAGUCUAGCUGUAAAUUUUGGAUUUGAGGCUGAAAAUUCUCGUGUAUAUUUUCUUAGUCUAAGGAUUUGAAGGGACACUUAAUACGAUUUUUAAUGGAAGACAAUGUUUUGUAAUUCAAUGGGAAGUUUGGGGAGAGGUGAUUAGACGAGACUUGGCGCAACUUCAAGUUAUCGAGAACAUGACCUUAGAUAGGAGAGUGUGGAGGUAUCGUGUAUUUGGGUAGAAGGUUAGUAGGUAGGAGUGUGUUCUCUUGCUUUUAGAGGGAUUUAGUCUUGGUGGUGCCUAUUGUAGUAUUAUCUUUAUUCUCGUGUGUCUUGCUUUUGAUUUCUAUAUCAUGUUUUGUUUAUUGUGUUUAGGUUAUCCACUAUCGUGGUUGUUACUAAUCCCUUAUUAGUUGUUAUGUUUCUUUUUUUCCUGUUUCAUACCUACUUUGAUUUGUUGUACUCAGCUGAAGGUACUCCGAAAACAGCCUCCCUACUCCUAUGAAGUAGGGACAAGGUCUGCCUACACUCUAUCCUUUUCAGACUCCACUUGUAUGAUGUUGUUGAAUUGUUGAGUGUGAUUGGUUCGAGAGAGAUCAGUUGGAUGAUGGGUCUUUUUAUUUUUGGCACUGGGCUGGACUAGCAAUCUGUAAAGAAGGCCCUAAUAGGGAAGGUGGAUAAAUUGCAGAAAAUUACGUGAGUCUUUUGACCCUUUCGCGAAGAAGAAAACAUCGUAUUUCCCUCCCUUUUAAGUAGACAAAAAAUCUCAAAGCUUUCUGUCCAAAGUUUCCUAAAAAUGUUUUCUUCAUCCUCGAGACACACUAGGUUCAUUCUAAACAAUUCGUCGGAGGAAGAGUUUUUGUUGUUAAAGUGGUUAAUGUGCUCCCACGACUCGACAUAGCGUUACUUAGGCUGGAUAGAAGCGAUUGAAUGAACCGUAGAUACACGUAAUGUUUGUUUUUGUUGGGGAUGAAUUAUUUGUUCUUGGAAGUUGCUAUCCAAAAUCGUAUCAACAAGGAGUUAUUUGUGGAGUUGGGAGGUUCAUUGAUUCGCGGUCUCUUUCAAACAACGGUGGGUACAAUUUCAUCCCAAGGGUGCAUCACUUUUAUCUUGCCUAAGCAACGCUAUGUCGAGUCGUGCAGUUCUUUAACAACAAAAACUCUUUCCUCUGACGAAUUAUUUAAAAGGGAUCUAGCGUGUCUCAAGAAUGAAGAAAAUGUUUUAGAGAACCUGAACAAAAAACUUUUAAGUUUUUUUUGUCUAGUUAAAAGGAAUGGAAAUACGUUGUUUGCUUCGCGAAAGAGUCAAAAACUCAUGUUUCUGUAAUUUAUCCACCUUUUCUAUCAAGGCCUUCUUUACGCUACUGACUACUUGUAGGAUUCAUCGUGACAUAAGGCUAGCGGAGAAAAUUAUGGAGUUCCUAGUCGAACAGGAUCUUGCUACUCCAGGAAGUUAUGUUCUGCUAUCCAAUAUAUAUGCCGCUUCUGGUGAUUGGGAUGGGGUGGCAAAGGUGAGGGCAUUGAUGAAGAGAGGCGGGGUUUGACAAGGAACCUGGCUGUAGCUCCAUUGAGGUAAAUAAUAAAGUGCAUGAGUUCCUUGCGGGUGAUAUGAAGCAUCCCAAAAGCAAAGAAAUCUACAUAAUGCUUGAGGAGAUGAACAAGUGGCUCGACGCUCAUGGUUACUUGCCACAGACUGAUAUAGUCUUGCAUAAUAUUGGGGAUGUUGAGAAGCAGCAAUCACUUGCAGUUCAUAGUGAAAGAUUAACCAUUGCUUAUGGGCUAAUUAGUACACAGGUAGGAGAUUCAAUCAAGAUUGUCAAGAAUCUACGUGUUUAUCCAGAUUGUCAUGCUGUCACAAAGCUCAUUUCAAAAAUCACAGGACGCAAAAUCAUUGUGAGGGAUCGGAAUUGUUUUCAUCAUUUUGUGGAGGGUUCAUGUUGUUGUGGUGAUUUCUGGUAGAACUAUUAGUUCAUGUUAACAUGAAGGCAGGUUUGCUGUAAAGCACUCUCUUUUUCGUUUUUGUAGAUUUCUUUUGCUGUUUUGGAUGGAAAUCUCCUUUUCGCCUUUUUGGAAGUAUUUGGUUUCUUUUUGUAUUGUAACAUUAUUGGGAAUGGAAAAAAAAGGAGGACCUUUGAUACGGGAAUUCCUAGCUCGAGACCUUUCACACGAAGCCAAGCACAUGAGUUGCAACGACUCUAAGCCUUGUUCACAUCCUUGGCCGUGUGUGAGGCCCUUGUGAGCCCAUCUAAGGGCCUAUACUUAUUAAAGUGUGAAGAGGCCUACCAAAGCAACCCAAACCCGUUCGCUUAAUGCCAAGGGUGUCUUGGUCUUUUGUCCCUCCUUUAUAAUUGACUAUAUAAGCCAUGUGUUAGGGCCAAUCCUCUUUAGUUCAUUCAUGAUAUUGGUGACUACAAACACCAGUAAUAUUUUGACUUCUCUCUUCCAUUUUGGAGAAGCCAAAACCGAAACUCACAAGUAGAGUGAUACUUGUGUUGUAUCUUGGCUAGAAACUAGGAUCUUGGGGUUCUUUGAAUUCCUCUUGGUCCAAGUAAGAGUUUGGUGUUAACAUUCAUUAAUCUUAGGGUCCUUACAUGUGGUUAGGGUUCUUAGAUUCUUGAAUAUUAUAUGUCAAACUAUCUAUUCAUCUCUUUUGUUAUCGUUGUAUUAUUGUUGGUCUUUGAAGUCUAGUGAAGCCGUGUGGGGCUCUUUCGAUUCACUAGCAUUGUUGUUCUUGUGUUCAUCUCUUUUCUUGUUCAAAAACUAAAUCUAAAGUCUAGUGGAGCCGUGAGUGGCCUAUUUCGAUUCACUAGCACCUUGUUGUUCAUCUUGUUGCUCUUGUGUUGGCUUGAAUCUCUUGAUACACACUUAGUCUUGUAUCAACCUUCACAUGAGAAACUGAAUUCAGUUUUGGUAUGAUAGAGGAUUUUUCCAUUCUCGCUUAUUACUUCCAUUUAUUUUAAUGAAAACGUCAAUAUGGAAACAAAGUCUAUAUUUUGUGAAUUCUGUGGUUUCACUUAUUUUGAGUAAUUUGUAGACAUGUAAGUCGUCCUCUCCCAUCUUUGUAUGGAUAAUCUUUCUAAUAUGUUUCUCUUUACCACCAUCUUUGCAGGAAAGGGGUUCAAGAAUUUUCUUAUUUGAAUAUUGUUCAACUUGAGAUUGAGUGAUUUGACUUUUGGUUACCUGUUUAUUUGCCGCCUUCUGCCUGAAUUACUUGAGCUUGUUCCUUUUGUCUCUCCCGGUUUAGUUGACAGUUUCUCCGAAAUCUUUCAUUUUUGUUUUGAGUUUUUACUGGCUAAUUCAUUUUCAUUUUCAAUGUAUGUGCCUUCAUGAUUCGACUCAUUUCGUAACGAGGAUCACAUUUGUCUUGUCAAUGAAAUGAAUUGCUCUUAUUGAUGAUAGCUGCUGGUAUAUGUGGAAGGAGAGUAUGUACUAAACCUGCUGUUUGUCUGAGGUACUGAAUGUUAUACUAAACCUGCUGUUUGUCUGAGGUACUGAAUGUUAUAACUUCUAAGCAUCGUGUUGCACCAUGGUACCUGUCGUAGCUUGAUGACAUCCUCAUACGGUGUUAUACUCAAACAAAAGCUUAUACAGUUGAAACUGCAAAUGACCAUUGUCUGCUUAACAGAAUUUGCAGAACAGAGAAGAAAAGUAAAGAAGGAGCUUUCUAUUUGGGUCCACUCGACGAGUAUCCCUUGAAUUUACGUUCCAUAAGUGAAAGCCUUCCAUUUCGGCGGAUUGAAAGCGUUGUUUGGAAUAGAUUCCAUUUUGAGAGAGUUGAAAAGGCACUAUCUCGUUGAAAGGUUUUAUACAUCUGCCUUUUCUCAACGCAUUUCUUUAGACAUGAUUCGUUUUUUCCUCUUUUUGGAUGAUAAAUCUUUCUCAGAACGUGGAGUGUGAAUCAAACCUGGUCAGGUACAUGAUCCCGAGAGGGGGAGUAUAGGAGUAUUUGGCUAGGAGCCUUUGCUGGAUAGACUGAACGGAAUCACCCCCCCCCCCCCCCCCCCCCCCCCCC